CCUUUGUGCCUACGGCUUGCUAGGCAUCUUGGACUAUUCCCAGGACAAAGGUGAUUCCUAGAUAGAUAUGGGCCACAGCCCAUACGCUUGUGAGAAGAGUUUGCUGGAGGAUAAUGGGUGCGACAGACUCCCAACUGACCAUCUCUUGUCACCAAAUGAAACUUUCAGUACUGGCUUGAGUUACAUCUAAAUGAGUUGUUGGCCAAAGGGAUCCCAUGGGAAUACCCAAACAACCAUGGCUGUUGGCAAGACAACAGGCUGCUUUUCACAAACUGACAGCAAGGCCCAUUGUUGGUGACAGUACAAACACAACUCAUUGAACAUGAAGAAGUCCUACACAGCCUUCAUUCUCUUUGUUACAGGAAGGUACUCUGCAUGACACCAGAAGACAAACAAUGCAGUGCCAACCGAGCCAGGAGACGCUAAGGGCGGGUGUGUGGCUCCAGCAGGUGUAGAAAGAACUCUACUGCCAUGGCACAGAAAUGGGUUCUGUACCAUAUAGCCCUUGAAAUUCCUUUACAUGAGACCUGGAGACGGGGGAGAAUCAGAAAAGUCGAGAAUUAUUUAAGAAGCUCCAGAAGUGAAGGGAGGGUGCAUUGCUCCAGCAGGUGUAGAAAGAACUCUACGCCAUCGCGCGGAAAUGGGUUCUGUACCAUAUAGCCCAUUGAAAUUCCUUUUCAUGAGACCUGGAGGUGGGGGAGAAUCAGAAAAGUAGGGAAUAUAAGAAGCUCCAAGGUGGGUGUCCUAGCAUUCUCCAAAGACCCAGGCCCUAAGAACCUGGAAACUGAUUCUCUUGUUGAGUACCGACCUGAAGAAUGAUGAUAUCUAGGCAGAAAUUGUUCCUGUCAUGCUUGUAUUCAAAUGAGAUUUCUUUUUUUUUUCAGACGCGAAGGGCGGGUGCAUUGCUCCAGCAGCUGGCCUGGGUCUGAAAAAGCCUGGGAUAAAACCGGACUAGCUGAACAUAGCGGACA